GGUCUUUGUCCCCGCUUUGUGGGUUUGAUCCCAAGGGAGAGCCCUGGGGAAGCGCGGUACAGACGUCCUCGGUUCUCUAAGCCCGUUUGUCCUCGGCCCAUUUCGGCAGAUGUUUUGAGCUCACUCUUAGAGGACACGAAAAUAAUGAUAAUUCAGUCAACAUCCACCAACUCCAUGCUUUAUGAGGUGAUACAGAGGCUACAAAACUGUAGCAUUCAUUUAUUCAUUCAACAAAUAUUUAUGGAGUUUCUACGCUGGAUCGUGUACCAUGGAACUGGGAAGACAAUGGCAGGAUCUUCCAGGAGCAGAGCUGCUAUAAGGAGGGGAGGUUCACAUUCCAGCGUGGAGCUCAUGAGAUUGGUCAGCAAAGAGAAUUUCCAUCAGAAGAGAGAUUACAUGUCAACACCAGCCUGCCUUCCCAGGAAAAUCCAAACACUCCAACUUGUUCUUGAGACCCAGGAUCUCCCACAGUCCUGAGACCUGAAAAGCUUUACUCAGCAGACAUUCUUUGAGUGCCAACCGUAUGUCAGGUAACCACUGGGGACAAGAUCUUGGGCUCUGGUGGGGGAGAGACAUAGAAACAAUACAAUAGGAUAUUUUGAGUUCUCCAAAAGAAGUGUGUGCAAAGGGACAUAAUAACCCAGGAGAAGCCUCAGAUUUCUGCCUUUGGCAAUCAUGGAAGGCGUCCCAGAAUAGGUGAUAUUCACUCUCCAGAAGGAGAUUACAGCAGAAGCAAAGGACCAGGCCAGGGCUCGCACCUCUAGCUCUCCCCUCAGGGAGCGAGUCCAGAACUUUCUAUCUCUGAAAUGCUUCAGUCAUAGGAGCAGCACAGACGUCACAUGCACCUAGCAUCUGGGUGAUAUUAAUUACCGCCAUGUUUAUUAAGUGCCCCAUUAAACUUGAUUCUCGCCAACAGCAUGGUUGGCUCCCUGGGCUAAAUCCAUGCUAAAUAUUCAAUUACACACAGCACAAGCAGAAUCGUAUUUGGCAGGGAUUAGUUCACUUGUCCUGCGAAGGCACUUUUCCAGCUGAAUAAUAAUGGUGUCUUUUAAUUGUGUGGUUUCCUCAUCUUGAGGGACUUUAAGCCAGAACAUCUCCUCAGAGGGAGACAGAACCUGGGUGUCAUCAUCUCCAUUUUGUACUUGGAUGAACUCGGUAAAGAGAUCUGGCGCUAGCCACAUAAAGCUCCAAUCUUUCUUCUCUUUCGGGGCCCAGCUCAAAUGACCUCUUCUCUGAAGGUUUUUCAGCUCCCUCAUCAGAAUUUCUCUGAAGUACACGACACUGAAAGAAGCUGAGAGCAUCGGCAGAGCCUUCACUGUGUCCAGGGCCCUGUGAUGGAUGCUUGGCCUGCAUUCACUCACUUGGUCGUCCCCUCCCCCCACCAACCCUGAGAGAGUGCUUCCAUUGCAUAGCGGGGGAAACUGAGACAUAAAGAAGUUGAGAGAUGGGUCUUGGAUUGUGCAGCUAAUAAGUGUCAGAAGUCAGGAUUCAAACCCAGGCCUCUAAGCCCAUUGUCUUAACCACACACAAUCCUGGCCCACUUGUUCUUUCAUUCAACAAGUAUUUAUUGAGCGCCUACUGUAUACCCAGUCUUGCUAGGAGUAUAGUACUUGGUAGGGAUGCAGUGGUGAGGAAAACAUCAUCAUAUCCUAACAAAGAUUAUUGUCUAGAAGGGAAGACAGAUUUAAAAUCCUUCCACAAACAAUUAUUUAAUUAGACACAUCGAUCAUCAGCCAGUGUUAACAGAAUGUAACUCAACUGGAUAAGACACUUAGCAGGGUGAGAAAAGAAAUCAGGUGCCUGGAUGGCUCCUUGUUUUCUAUAAUUCAGGGUCAGUCAAUUCGUCCUUUCUUCUUAGACUCUGUGGCUGAGCAAUGCCUACCGAUUCCCACAUUUGCUUUGGGAAUAUCCACAAAUCAGUUCCCUCUCUAAAUCACAGUUUUCCCAGCUAUAAAAUGGGAAUGGAAAUAACAAAAGACUGGAAGCAACCCAAAUACCCAUCGACAGGGACUGUUUACAUAAAUGAUGGUACAUUUACACCAUGGAAUAUGCAGCUAUUAAAAAGCAUGAGACAACCCGAAAUGCUAGAGAAGGAUUGCUAAGACAUCAGUGAGUGAAAGAACAAGGUCAAGGAUGGUGGGUAUGGAAUGUUCCCAGCUGCUUACAUAAAAAAGGAGAAAGGAUGAGGCGCCUGGGUGGCUCAGUUGGUUAAG